rnacentral:rRNA from 1 species
UACGGAAGGCAGCAGUGGGGAAUAUUGCACAAUGGGCGCAAGCCUGAUGCAGCCAUGCCGCGUGUAUGAAAAAGGCCUUCGGGUUGUAAAGUACUUUCAGUCGUGAGGAAGGUGUUAAGGUUAAUAACCUUAGCAAUUGACGUUAGCGACAGAAGAAGCACCGGCUAACUCCGUGCCAGCAGCCGCGGUAAUACGGAGGGUGCGAGCGUUAAUCGGAAUUACUGGGCGUAAAGGGCACGCAGGCGGUUAAUUAAGUUGGAUGUGAAAUCCCCGGGCUUAACCUGGGAAUGGCAUUCAAGACUGGUUAGCUAGAGUCUUGUAGAGGGGGUAGAAUUCCAUGUGUAGCGGUGAAAUGCGUAGAGAUGUGGAGGAAUACCGGUGGCGAAGGCGACCCCUGGACAAGACUGACGCUCAUGUGCGAAAGCGUGGGGAGCAAAC